rnacentral:lncRNA from 1 species
UCCUUUAUAUUCCGACAAGUAUAUGUAUAUCUGAGCUUGUUCCCGGAUUGGGUUGCUGCUGGAUCUGGAUGUGAUGUGAUGUUGCGCCUGAUGGUUAUUGGUUUUGCUGGCCCUUAACUGAUUUUGUAUUCAAGUGCCGUCUUUGAAACGCCAAGUCCAGCUUCUCCGUGAGUGCCUGAUGGUUCCUUUUAAUUUGUUUUGUAUUCAAGUGAUGUCUGUCUCUUUUGAAACACUAUAGUAGAUGUGCAUUUCCACUGUAGGGGAUUUGCUCUAACCAAUUCCUUUCCUUUGAAGUGGCAACUCAAGGAAGUUGAGGAGGACGAAGAUGAUGAGGAUGGCGAAGAAGGGUAGAGUCGAGAGGAAUGCAUCUUGCUACAAUUUGGUUGGUUUCUUGGUGGGUUUGCACCCAGGAAGUUUUGGAGACUUGAAAGUUUGUUUGUACAAUAACAUAACUCCAGCGACAGAUCUGGUGGCUUCCUUUAUAUUUCGACAAGUAUAUGUAUAUCUGAGCUUGUCUUUGGGUUGGGUUGCUGCUGGCUGUGAAUGGGAUGGGUUCUUGUCUUCCUGGGUGUUCCUCUACCUUAGCUCAACAUGAGGAUCUUGGGCCACGGUUGCACUGCACGAGGUGGCGCCAGCAAUAUGCCUCGCGUCUCUAUGAGCCAACGACAACGAUGAGCCAGGGAGAGCAAUCAUGGAUUCGCUACGGCAUCGACGCCCCAUCUCAAGGUGUGGAAAUUGUUCUUACCUUGAGUCCUAUCUCUAGCCUUGAACAACAUCUCUCUAAAUCCAUCCCUGAUCUGCAACACCUUUUUUUGGGAGGUUGCAGGUGUGUACGGCAUAUGUUUGCGUAAAUGCCCGUGUUGGAAAGACUUCUUUUUGUGUGCAUCUUCUUUUGUUCGAAAAGGGCUAGCUUUCACCGUGAAUCAUUAGGACAGUGUGGCAUAUGAGGUGGUAUAGAUGGAUUAGUUAUAAAUAUAUUAGGUACUUGAACUACUUAUCAUGAUCCUUAUUUCGAGCGUUUGAGCCGAGAUCGAUGACCGUGAAUCAUAAGGACUGUUAGAGAAGAGAAGAAGAUUCUUGGUUGUUACUGUUGUGAAAGCAUGGAUUGUGUUGUCAUCUGUUCCUUUCUCUUCUACAUAAGUUCAUGAAUCAUAAAGCAGGGCCUAUGCAGCUGUACUGAUGUUUGAACACUUUUAG